rnacentral:lncRNA from 1 species
AUUCCGCCCGAUUCCCAUAUUUUUGUGUGCUAUCACCCACGCCGUCCGAGUGGGUCAGGCCCCCCGGAGCCGGAUCGCCUAAAAAUUAUCCGGACUAUCAAAUACGACCUAAGGAACCAUAGUCACCGCCCCACCAUGAUCGUUCCUACUCUUUUGCGUUUUUCAGCCAAAAAACUAGAAUUCCGCGCGAUUUUCAUAUUUUCGUGUGCUUUAGCCAACGCCUUCCAAGGGGUCCCGGGAACCCCGAUCGCCUAAAAAUUUUCCGGGACAUAAAAUACGACCUAAGGAACCAUAGUAACCACCUCGCCAUGAUCGUUCCUCAUUUUUUGCAUUUUUCGGCCAAACAACUAGAAUUUCGCGCGAUUCCCAUAUUUUUGCGUGUUAUAGCCCACACCUUCCGAGUAGUCCCGGGACCUCCUGACCCCUAUCGCCUAAAAUUUUCCCGGACUAUCAAAUACUACCUAAGGAACCAUAGUAUCCGCCCCGCCAUGAUUGUUCCUCAUUUUUUGCGUUUUUCGGCCAAACAACUAGAAUUCCGCGCGAUUCCCAUAUUUUUGUCUUUUAUAGCCCACGCCUUCCGAGUGGUCCCGGGACCUCCGGACCCCUAUCGCCUAAUAUUUUUU